rnacentral:rRNA from 1 species
GACAAACGCUGGCGGCGUGCUUAACACAUGCAAGUCGAACGGAAAGGCCCUGCUUUUGUGGGGUGCUCGAGUGGCGAACGGGUGAGUAACACGUGAGUAACCUGCCCUUGACUUUGGGAUAACUUCAGGAAACUGGGGCUAAUACCGGAUAGGAGCUCCUGCUGCAUGGUGGGGGUUGGAAAGUUUCGGCGGUUAGGGAUGGACUCGCGGCUUAUCAGCUUGUUGGUGGGGUAGUGGCUUACCAAGGCUUUGACGGGUAGCCGGCCUGAGAGGGUGACCGGCCACAUUGGGACUGAGAUACGGCCCAGACUCCUACGGGAGGCAGCAGUGGGGAAUAUUGCACAAUGGGCGGAAGCCUGAUGCAGCAACGCCGCGUGCGGGAUGACGGCCUUCGGGUUGUAAACCGCUUUCGCCUGUGACGAAGCGUGAGUGACGGUAAUGGGUAAAGAAGCACCGGCUAACUACGUG